ensembl:lncRNA
CUGACGGAUCUCCCUCAGAGUUUACACUGUUUACAGGUCAGGUCUGAUCGAUCUACGUCAGAGUUUACACUGUUUACAGGUCAGGUCUGUGGAUCUACGUCAGUGUUGACGCUGCUUACAGGUCAGGUCUGUGGAUCUACGUCAGUCAACAGUUUACGAAGUUAACAAAGUUUACAGUUGACCCAUGUUACGACAAUGUUAAAACAGUUUGCAAAGAUUCUGUUUACAGUUUACCAGGUUGUUUAUUGCUGCCGACGUUUCAAAGCCAAAAAUAUGCAAUGACAACUAACCAACUGACUGCAUGUGAUUCCAAAAACUGUUCCACAUCAUGUUUGAACCCCAGCUUCAGUCCAGGUUCCUGAUCAUGUCUGAACCCCAGCUUCAGUCCAGGUUCUCCUGACGUUUGAACCCCUCCAGCCUCAGUCCAGGUUCCUCAUGUCUGAACCCCACCCUCAGUCCAUGUUCCUCAUGUCUGAACCCCACCCUCAGUCCAGGUUCCUCAUGUCUGAACCCCACCCUCAGUCCAGGUUCUCCUCAUGUCUGAACCCCACCCUCAGUCCAGGUUCUCCUCAUGUCUGAACCCCACCCUCAGUCCAGGUUCUCCUGUCUGAACCCCACCCUCAGUCCAGGUUCUCCUCAUGUCUGAACCCCACCCUCAGUCCAGGUUCUCCUCAUGUCUGAACCCCACCCUCAGUCCAGGUUCUCCUCAUGUCUGAACCCCAGCCUCAG